CCUACGGGAGGCAGCAGUGAGGAAUAUUGGUCAAUGGGCGCGAGCCUGAACCAGCCAAGUAGCGUGAAGGAUGACUGCCCUACGGGUUGUAAACUUCUUUUAUACAGGAAUAAAGUGAGGCACGUGUGCCUUUUUGUAGGUACUUUAUGAAUAAGGAUCGGCUAACUCCGUGCCAGCAGCCGCGGUAAUACGGAGGGUCCGAGCGUUAUCCGGAUUUAUUGGGUUUAAAGGGAGCGUAGAUGGGUUGUUAAGGGAGUUGUGAAAGUCUGCGGCUCAACCGUAAAAGUGCAAUGGAUACUGGCAGCCUUGAGUACAGUUGAGGUAGGCGGAAUUCGUGGUGUAGCGGUGAAAUGCUUAGAUAUCACGAAGAACUCCGAUUGCGAAGGCAGCUUACUAAACUGCCACUGACAUUGAUGCUCGAAAGUGUGGGUAUCAAACAGGAUUAGAUACCCUUGUAGUC
rnacentral:rRNA from 1 species